UACGAAGGGUGCAAGCGUUACUCGGAAUUACUGGGCGUAAAGCGUGCGUAGGUGGUUUGUUAAGUCCGUUGUGAAAGCCCUGGGCUCAACCUGGGAAUGGCAGUGGAUACUGGCAAGCUAGAGUGCGGUAGAGGGUAGUGGAAUUCCCGGUGUAGCAGUGAAAUGCGUAGAGAUCGGGAGGAACACCAGUGGCGAAGGCGGCUACCUGGACCAGCACUGACACUGAGGCACGAAAGCGUGGGGAGCAAACAGG
rnacentral:rRNA from 1 species